GGCGGCGUGCUUAACACAUGCAAGUCGAGCGGAAAGGCCCUUCGGGGUACUCGAGCGGCGAACGGGUGAGUAACACGUGAGCAACCUGCCCUAGGCUUUGGGAUAACCCCGGGAAACCGGGGCUAAUACCGAAUAUGACCUUUCCUCGCAUGAGGAAAGGUGGAAAGUUUUUCGGCCUGGGAUGGGCUCGCGGCCUAUCAGCUUGUUGGUGGGGUGAUGGCCUACCAAGGCGACGACGGGUAGCCGGCCUGAGAGGGCGACCGGCCACACUGGGACUGAGACACGGCCCAGACUCCUACGGGAGGCAGCAGUGGGGAAUAUUGCACAAUGGGCGGAAGCCUGAUGCAGCGACGCCGCGUGAGGGAUGACGGCCUUCGGGUUGUAAACCUCUUUCAGCAGGGACGAAGCGUAAGUGACGGUACCUGCAGAAGAAGCGCCGGCCAACUACGUGCCAGCAGCCGCGGUAAGACGUAGGGCGCGAGCGUUGUCCGGAUUUAUUGGGCGUAAAGAGCUCGUAGGCGGCUUGUCGCGUCGACUGUGAAAACCCGCAGCUCAACUGCGGGCCUGCAGUCGAUACGGGCAGGCUAGAGUUCGGUAGGGGAGACUGGAAUUCCUGGUGUAGCGGUGAAAUGCGCAGAUAUCAGGAGGAACACCGGUGGCGAAGGCGGGUCUCUGGGCCGAUACUGACGCUGAGGAGCGAAAGCGUGGGGAGCGAACAGGAUUAGAUACCCUGGUAGUCCACGCUGUAAACGUUGGGCGCUAGGUGUGGGGGGCCUCUCCGGUUCCCUGUGCCGCAGCUAACGCAUUAAGCGCCCCGCCUGGGGAGUACGGCCGC
rnacentral:rRNA from 1 species